AAGAUUAUACUUUCAGGGAUCAUUUCUGUAGCUCAUUACUAGAGAAGUUUCUCGGACUCUGUAGAGUAUCAGAAACCAUGAGGAGGAAACGUGGCAGUCUCUCCUGAGUAUGAAGCUGGCUUUUGGUGUUGCUUCGCUGCAACUGCCUUUUGCCAUUGACAGUCAUUCUUCUACCUUUCGGGAGAGUAGAGGGAGAAGACGCAACCUGAGUUUUGGU
ensembl:snoRNA U3 Small nucleolar RNA U3